AACGCACAUUGCGCCCGCUAGUAUUCUGGCGAGCAUGCCUGUUCGAGCGUCAUUUCAACCAUCAAGCCCCAGGCUUGUGUUGGAGCCCUGCGGCUGCCGCAGCCUCCCAAAAACAGUGGCGGGCUCGCUAUCACACCGAGUGCAGUAGUUUACUCUUCGCUCAGGGCGUGUGGCGGGUGCUAGCCGUGAAACCCCCAACUUCUCAAGGUUGACCUCGGAUCAGGUAGGAAUACCCGCUGAACUUAA
rnacentral:misc_RNA from 1 species